rfam:Myotis lucifugus cont2.14585, whole genome shotgun sequence.
CAGAGCUGUGGAGUGUGACAAUGGUGUUUGUGUCCAAACUAUCAAACGCCAUUAUCACACUAAAUAGCUACUG